UUUCCCGGAGGAUCCAGGGUCUACACUAGCUCAGUACGAAAGUGCCUCCCAGGGACCUCACAGCUAGAACCGCGCAGCGGCCCUACCUAAACGCCAGACCCGUAGCCAGGAAGGCACAGCCUGGCCCGGAGGAAGCUCAUCCUUGCUGCUCGAAAGCAAACCGUAUCCAAUCGGCAGGGAGGAAGGAAACCGGUCACUGAGGGAUCCAGUCUAAAACUCUGACCUCAGAUAAGCCCAGAUGAAAUCAUUCAUGAGGGAGAGGCCCUGACGGAGAAGUAGCAGGCUGAGACUACUUCAGCUAGCAGGAGAUCAGCUAGAUAGCUUAUCUAGAGAUUGCAAACACCUGCAAAUCCAUCGGCAGAUCAAAGAGAAGAAGAGCAGCAAUUCUGGAAACAGAAAAACAACCACUUUCUGAAAGGGCUGCUGAACUUGGAGCUAAAGGAGUUUCCUACAUGGAGAGAUCUUGAAAACAAGCUGAAGCCAAUGCAAAGGAAAGCAGAGAGAUGGUGGACGUCUUCACCUCUGAAGCGCCUCCUAGUGCGGACGUCUUCUAGUGUGAUCACCCCAGACCAGACAAAAGGCAAGGUCAAGUACUGCUUUUGAGGAGGAGAGAUGAAGCUGUGGAAGAAGGGAUGCCUUUGAGAUUCUCAACAAAGUCAGUAUCAAGUGAGAUAUUAUGAGGUAUUACACAGUUGGAGGAAAUUGUGUUCUUGAAGAUAGUGUAAAAGAUCUGAAGUAAUAAAUUCAAUAGGGAUUUUAUAGUGAAUUUCAGUAAGUUCAUUAUAUAAAUUAUUCUAAAUCAUCCAUGUGAAGAAAAAUAUAUUUACUGUAUUUAAAUGUACACAAAACAAAAUCUAUUGAGUGAUUAUUUAAAAUAAAUACAAUAUUCAAAUUGUUCAGAUAGUGAGAGAAACCGUAUAUACAACUCAUGUGCACCGAUAGGAAUCCUUUGUUACAUGACCAAGGUCUCUAACAACGUGCUACUGAAAACCUGUUUAGCAGAUAAUGUUCUUUAUUCAAUAUCUAUUUUUUUGUUGUUGUUACUGAAAGUUCCCAAUUUUGUUGAGAGGCAGUUGACCCCCCCUAAAAUAACGCAAUGUCCCAGACAUCCUGGAAGCUAGAGAUGGCUAUGUGACACAGCUGUGACCAUUGAGUAUUUGUCAGUUUUGGCGAAGACUUUGUGUUCUUAAUUAUGGAUACCUACAUUUCUUCACUAUCUUUUUUUUUUUUUUCCUCUUCCUCUCUGUAGCAUCAGUUCUAUGCCUAGAGUGCACCAGGAUUUUUGUGAUCAGGAGUCCAUAAGAAGGAGAAGGAGGAGGGCACGGUAGAAAGAUGGACAGCCAGAUCCUUGGUCUUAUUUUUAAGUACCUACUCUAGCCAGAAGAGACCUCUGUCAGACCUCUGGUUGUCUGGGGGCAAAUGGUGUCACUCUUAGAAGAGUUUCUGUCCUAUGAAGUCAAAACCAUUCCUUACUGAUACAGUUCCCUAAACUGAUUGUCCAAUUUCAGGAAAAACUCUCCAACAUGGGUGAAGGAGGGAGGGGGUAUUAAUUUAGCACAUCAGAUUGGCUCAUAAUCCAGCAAUCUAUGGGAUGUCUCUACGGAGACAGAGCAUCCUAAUAUCUGUAACAGGUUUUUAUAUAACCAGUUUUCUUUCUUGAUCUACAUGAAUCUGAUGCAUAACAAAAUGGUGUCCUCUCUACCUGUGUUUCCUUGUUUUCACUAAGCCUGUCUUCCAGUACCCGUCAAGAAAGUACGCAUGUACGGAUGCCUGGGUGGCUCAGUCAUUAAGCCUCUACCUGAGGCUCCUGUCAUUGUGGUUCCUGGCUCAGCGGGGAGCCUGCCUCUCUCUCCCCCACUCCCCCUGCUUGUGUUCCCUCUCUCGCUGUGCUUCUGUCUGUCAAAUAAGUAACAUCUUUAAAAAGAGAGAGAGAAAAUGUGUAUGUCUUACAGUAAUACUAUUUACUUGUUUCAACCUACAAAUGAAAUUUUUCUUUUUGUUAUAAAGAAUGAACCUCUAGUGUAGCCUAUCUUUAGAUUAAAAAUAAAAACGUUUU